GAUGAACGCUAGCGGCAGGCCUAAUACAUGCAAGUCGAACGGUGUCUUCGGACAUAGUGGCGCACGGGUGCGUAACACGUAUGCAACCUACCUUACAUUGGGGGAUAGCCUUUCGAAAGGGAGAUUAAUACCGCAUAAGACAGUAGCUGGGCAUCCAGCAGCUGUUAAAGAUUUAUCGAUGUAAGCUGGGCAUGCGUCCAAUUAGCUAGUUGGUGAGGUAACGGCUCACCAAGGCAAUGAUUGGUAGGGGAACUGAGAGGUCAAUCCCCCACACUGGCACUGGGAUACGGGCCAGACUCCUACGUGAGGCAGCAGUAGGGAAUAUUGGGCAAUGGACGCAAGUCUGACCCAGCUAUGCCGCGUGCAGGAUGAAGGCGUUAUGCGUUGUAAACUGCUUUUAUACAGGAAGAAACGACUCUUGCGAGAGGCAUUGACGGUACUGUAUGAAUAAGCACCGGCUAACUCCGUGCCAGCCGCCGCAGUAACAC
rnacentral:rRNA from 1 species